rnacentral:RNase_P_RNA from 1 species
AGCAAGGCUGAGUGAGCAGCAAGCCCAAUAUGGCCAAAAAAGACAAGCUCGCAGUGGUAAGGGUGAAAUGGUGAGGUAAGAGCUCACCGGAGACAUGGAGACAUGUCUGCCGUGUAAACCCCACCCGGUGCAAGGCCAAGCAGAGCAUAAGUCCGCAUAUGCGGAUGGUGGCGGCCCGUCACCGCUCUAAUGGUAGGCCGCAAGCGGAUAUUAUUAUCCCGGAGGGCGGCGGCAACGUCGUUCCCAGAUAGAUGAUCGUUCUCGACAGAAUCCGGCUUAUCGGCUUGCUCGAUAU